rnacentral:rRNA from 1 species
CGUUAAUGAGUUAGGGGUCUUCCAGGCCCCGAUCUCCAACCCUUUGUAUAACUACCAUGUUGCUUUGGCGGGCCCGUCUUUCACCGGACCGCCGGGGGUCUUUCGAUCUCUGGCCAGUGCUCGUCAGUAGCCCUUAACAAACUCUUUUAACCAUGUUAAAUCUGAAAAAUAGUUAAAUAAACUAAAACUUUCAACAACGGAUCUCUUGGUUCUGGCAUCGAUGAAGAACGCAGCGAAAUGCGAUAAGUAAUGCGAAUUGCAGAAUUCAGUGAGUCAUCGAAUCUUUGAACGCACAUUGCGCCCUUUAGUAUUCUGAAGGGCAUGCCUGUUCGAGCGUCAUUAUCACUAAUCAAGCCCGGCUUGCUGUUGGACUUUUUGUCGUUAAAAGACAGGUCCUAAAGAUAAUGACGGCGUCAGUUGGACCCUAGAUGCAACGAGCUUUAACCAGCACGCAUUUUUAGUUGGCCCUUUUGACCCGGUCCUUUUUAACCAAUUUUUAAGGUUGACCUCGGAUCAGGUAGGAAUACCCGCUGAACUUAA